AGAUCGUCAUAUCAUGGAAAUCACUCCCAGAUGACUGGGUCCAAUGGACUCACCAGACACGUUUCCAAUUAUCAUACAUAGGACGCCGAGUGGAGCUGCACGCAUGCGCACCGGGUCGGGACGGCGAGCUGCUGGAUACGGCAGGGUGUUUACGGGCCCGUCUCCCCUGCUGUCUGUGUCGUCUGCCAAGGGCCACAUCCCGUUUGUCCACUGGGCCCAGCACCCAGCAAGAGGCCCACAUAGAGCCAGAAGGCUGGGACCCCGUAAAGAAGGGACCCUGUCUUUGCUACCCUUGGAUUCUCACCACCCAGAACAGUGCCUGGCCCACAGGAUUAUGUAUUUGGUGCAUGUUCAGCAGAUGAACCAACGAAUGAAUGAAUGAAUGAGGGUUUUCCAGGCCAGUGCCUCCCUUGGGCUCACCCUCCUCCCGGUCCUCGGUGAGGAAGAAGACGAAGGUCAUUCCCAGCUUGCGCACUCCUGGGUUUCGCAGAUUCACUCUGCAGCCUCCAGCACGCUCUGCAGCAAAGCCAUGGUAGUACCACUGCUACUGAGGAUGAGGAUGACGACUAACUUUUGUCUCUAUCCUACAGAAGAGAAAAGCAAGGCCGGGAGAGCUCAAGUGAGCUGCUCGACAUCUCACCGCAGAAGCGCCCCAGAGCUGGGAUUCGAACCCAGGCAGUCUGGCCCCGGAGUCCACGCUCUUAGCUGCUCCCUACAACUGCCCCCCUGGUAGACAGUGUCCUUGUUUAGUGUCACCUGAUGCUGCCUGGGCUUAAAACCAGAGACGGGCGGCUCCUUGGCAGCUGUUUUCCCAGCUCUCGUUGGAAAUGGAUAGUGGAAACCCAAUUUGCACCCAGAGCCGGGUGUAUCGCCCCACUCUCUGCCUGGGUACAGUUCUACUCUGUGAGGCCAUGCUCAGCUCUCUGUUCCAUCUCCUAGUCCCCCCAGGGCCCCUCCCUUGGUAGAUGGGGGGGAGCAGACGGUGGGCGCUGGGAGUCCGAGACCAGGGCAGGGACUGGCCGUUGGGAGUGAGGUCCAAGCCGUGCUGAUUUGCAGAUGGAAAUUUACAUACAUAAUGUAAUUUGGGCCAAUUGAAUUGUCGAUUAAGAUGGAAUCACUUGACAUGCAACACGUACUCUGGCGGGUGACCGAGGAGACAAGAGGCCCUUGAGAUGCCUGUAGCAAAAACACGCUUUUGUUUUUCAAGGAGAUGGCCAUUUCCAAAUUCCACAUUUUAACAACCUCCUCUCUCAAGCCCCCCUUCCCUCUGGGUCACAGCUGGGAUCUGUUGAAAUGAAAAACUUUAUGGGCAAUUCACAUUUAAAUCCCAGGCACAGUCAGCAUGCUCCUGGGUGCAGCUGGGGAGGGGGGCCCUAGACACCUCCUCAGACUGCGGAGGCUGCAGGCCAGGGCCCUGGGUUGGAGCCCUACAACCCCCCACCUAUGACAAGCUAGGAAGUGGUGCUGGACACACACUGGGGCUGUGGGGGAAGGAAGGGGUGCACUUCCUGCCUCCACGAUCUUGGGCACCAGGCUUUGCCUCUCAGAGCCUCAAGCUCCUCAUCUAUGAAGUGGAGAGAAUGUUCCACCAUCAUCUGUGAUGAUUAUGGUGGGAAGGCAAGGUGAUAGCCUAAGAACCUUGGAAAUCAUUACAUGAUGCUCAUAAUAAUAACAAAGGGUAACUACCACAUUGCCACGAGGCUCCAAACUCUCCGUAUUACUUGUUAUUUUCAGGUUUAUUAAAACAGCAAAUUCCUUGUUGCCUCAGGGCAUUUGCAGAUUGUUUGAUUGUUCACUUCCUUCCUGCUCUGCCCUCCCUCCUCCCCUGCCCUUUGCCUGGUGGGCCUUCCAUCUUUCCUUAAGCUUCCACCUAAAUUCACUUUUCCAGGGACUUCUGUCUCCAUCCAAGCCUUCCUGUUCUAUGUUCUGAAUGCCCCGAACCUUUCCUUCUUACACAGUUGUAAUUUGAUGUGAUUCCUUGUGUCCUAUCAACCUCCAUACCAAGCUCUAAGUUCCACCAAGGCAAGAGCAUGUUUGCCUUAUUCACUGCUGAUCCUUGGUGUGUGCUGCAAAGUAGACUUUCAAAAAAGCAGGUGUUGCAUGUUGGCAAAACACACUCCUUCUCUUCACCUGGCUAAUUCCUGCCAAUCCUUUAGGUCUCAGUGUACACAUCACCUUCUCUGGGAAUCCUUCCCAGAUGCCCCUGAUUUAAGUAAGGUGCCUCCCUUGUGGGUGCUAUAACAGCCCACCCCUGGGGGGGGUGCUUCCCACCACAAGACCCCUGGACGAUGACUGCUCAUUUGUUGGUCUCCAUCCCCCACUGGACAGUAAAUUUCCAAGGUAAGGGCUGGCAUCUCAUUCACUGGGGCACCUCCAGCACCCAGCUCAGAACCUGGCCUACAGUUUAUCACCGAAAAAACAAAUCAGAGGUCCAAUCUGGACAAGAGACUGUGGCUCACACUGUGGCGGUGGAUGGAGGGGAUGGGACCCAGAGGCUUAAGGUGAGGGAGUCAUGAAUCCUGUGUGGAGUUGGCUGGGACCGUGGAGAGCGCUCGUCAGGCAUAGGAAAGACCUGUGCCCAAUGAAUCAGGGCGCCCUGAGUCCUGGGAGAGCCCAGUUUGGGUUCCUACAGGUUUCUUGAGAGAGCCAGACAGAGCUGAAUGUUGGGGGUGGGUGGUGGUGUUUGGGACUACUGGUAAGUUGGAAAGAGGGGUCUGGCACUGAGAGGCCGACACAAGAGCUCCUUGGCCAGCUAGCUGAGAGCCCUCCCAGUGCCCAGAAUGGGCCGCUGUGAGGAUGCCAUCUGGGUGCCCUUGUCCCAUGGGCUCGCAAGGGCCCAUGUGCUUUCUGUCUGCAUGCAAAGUGAGGGGCAAGGCUGGCUGUGGCGGUUCCGCCCCCUCUUCUGCCGGCUCUGGCUCCAGGAUUAUCGUUCAGCAAAUGAAGUCUUGUUGCCCUUACCCUGCACUAGGUCCUCACUCAAGGAGCCCGGCCAAGAGUGUGGAGCCUUUGGGGGUCUUAUCAGGCUGUCUACUCCCAAAAUCCCUUGGACUCCAGGUGUAGCCCUAGGGGCUUGGCUUUACCUCAGUGUCCCCACUGCAUGGUAAAAGAGCCUUCGUAAAUCCAAGGGAUGGAAGAGUUUUGCACACAGUAGGUACUUAAUGAAUGCUUGUUGAAACCCAGCUGGGAUCCCAAAACUGUCAUCCCCCACACUUGUUUUUCUAGCCACCUGUUUAGAACAGCAUAGACCUAUGAGCUCAUUUAUAAACCUAAUGAAAGCUGUUAGAGGACAAGGGUAGAGAACAGAGCCUAUGGCACUCUACUAGGUAUUUCCUUCUGGGCUGGUAUGAACCCAUGUUCAGCAGUGUUUAGGAGUUUCCCAGGUUAUUAGAUAAUAAAUUGGGCCCAACUUUGUGGCCAUAGAACUCAUCUCUUCCUGACCUUUCUAGAAUAAAGUAUGGGGAAAGUCUGAUAAUACCUUUCAGGAACUCUUUGGGUUCUGUUGACUUUCUCCUCUCUCCCAGAGCCAGCCGCUACCUUCUGUGUGUACUGACCAUCAUGGGGAGCUGAUCACCUCUGUGGAGACGGGGUACUUAUUGGCCUUGGAAUAGAUACUCUGGCCCAUUCUCAAGGGAUGAGUCUGAGGGAGGGGGCAAUGCGAGGGGACAAAGGCAGGGCACAGAGAAGAAGAGCCCCUGGGCUAUCCCCCUCUCUCUGCUUCUCACACUGCUCUUCCUGGUCACCCCAAAUGGGCUUCUCCUUUUCCCACCCACCCCUCAUCUCCUGAGGCCACAGGCUCCCCCCGAGUCAAGCAGGGUGGUUCACGACCCCUGUUACAGUGAGAGCUGCCACCUUACUCCCCGGAGGACCUGGC